rnacentral:misc_RNA from 1 species
UCUUCAAAACACACCAUCACACGCAUAUUUGUCUAAACACUCUGCACAAUCAAAAGAAAAUACAUAAUAAUCACACCAACAUCCAUUUCUUGAGCACAAAAUCAUCUUGCUCAGCUGGAAACAAGUGGCAUGGAUUGAGCCACAUCAUCGCUAAACACCUUUGCAAUUCUCUCCGUAGGCACCAAAGGCAAAUAAGAGGAAACUCGGUAUCCCUUCUCAAAAGUGCUUAGUACCGUCUGGUUGUACUUUUCAGAGCAAUAAGCUGCAGUUGGCACAACAACUUGUGCCACUUGAGGGAAGAGUGGCAGCUGAUUGAGCCUGCGCCACGCGGUGACUGCACAUUGUUCUGCUUUUGGUUCGUACUUGGAGUAAAGCUCCUUGGCCUUGGGUUCAUACUUGGUGUACAAAGUUUUUGCCAAUCCAGAAGCAGUUUCCUUCACACCACUUUGAUGAACUUCAGACGCCACAGCACGAGCAGCCACAGGGGCCUCUCGAGCUAC